rnacentral:rRNA from 1 species
UACGGAGGGUGCAAGCGUUAUCCGGAUUCACUGGGUUUAAAGGGUGCGUAGGCGGGUAGGUAAGUCAGUGGUGAAAUCCUGGAGCUCAACUCCAGAACUGCCAUUGAUACUAUCUAUCUUGAAUAUUGUGGAGGUAAGCGGAAUAUGUCAUGUAGCGGUGAAAUGCUUAGAUAUGACAUAGAACACCCAUUGCGAAGGCAGCUUACUACGCAUAUAUUGACGCUGAGGCACGAAAGCGUGGGGAUCAAACAGGAUUAGAUACCCUGGUAGUCCACGCCCUAAACGAUGGAUACUCGACAUACGCGAUACACUGUGUGUGUCUGAGCGAAAGCAUUAAGUAUCCCACCUGGGAAGUACGUUCGCAAGAAUGAAACUCAAAGGAAUUGGCGGGGGUCCGCACAAGCGGUGGAGUAUGUGGUUUAAUUCGAUGAUACGCGAGGAACCUUACCUGGGCUAGAAUGCUGGGAGACCGCUAGUGAAAGCUAGUUUUGUAGCAAUACACUGCCAGUAAGGUGCUGCAUGGCCGUCGUCAGCUCGUGCCGUGAGGUGUUGGGUUAAGUCCCGCAACGAGCGCAACCCCUAUCUUUAGUUGCCAACAGGUAAUGCUGGGAACUCUAAAGAAACUGCCGCCGUAAGGUGUGAGGAAGGAGGGGAUGAUGUCAGGUCAUCAUGGCCUUUAUGCCCAGGGCUACACACGUACUACAAUGGGGAAGACAAAGGGCUGCAACAUAGCGAUAUGAAGCCAAUCCCAAAAACUUCCUCUCAGUUCAGAUUGCAGGCUGCAACUCGCCUGCAUGAAGCUGGAAUCGCUAGUAAUCGUAUAUCGGCAAUGAUACGGUGAAUACGUUCCCGGACCU